rnacentral:rRNA from 1 species
CCUACGGGAGGCAGCAGUGAGUAAUAUUGGUCAAUGGGCGCGAGCCUGAACCAGCCAAGUAGCGUGAAGGAUGACUGCCCUACGGGUUGUAAACUUCUUUUAUAAAGGAAUAAAGUGAGGCACGUGUGCCUUUUUGUAUGUACUUUAUGAAUAAGGAUCGGCUAACUCCGUGCCAUCAGCCGCGGUAAUACGGAGGAUCCGAGCGUUAUCCGGAUUUAUUGGGUUUAAAGGGAGCGUAGAUGGGUUGUUAAGUCAGUUGUGAAAGUUUGCGGCUCAACCGUAAAAUUGCAAUUGAUACUGGCAGUCUUGAGUACAGUUGAGGUAGGCGGAAUUCGUGGUGUAGCGGUGAAAUGCUUAGAUAUCACGAAGAACUCCGAUUGCGAAGGCAGCUUACUAAACUGCCACUGACAUUGAUGCUCGAAAGUGUGGGUAUCAAACAGGAUUAGAUACCCCUGUAGUC